AUGGCGCCUAGGAAUGGCUACACAGGAGAAGGAGGGAGCUCAGUCAUAUCCACGGAUCUAAGCCAUGGCAGUGUUGAAUCAGGCGAAUCUCUUCAGGUUAUGUUUGCUCCCCUCUCUUUUCCCACUCCCCCCUUUUUCUUUUGGUCAGAUCCGCUUCUUCUUAACCUCUUUUCAUCUUCUGAUCUGCAGCCCGUCCAACCUACGGCCGAUGUACCUCCAGAAGAGAUUCCGGAUCCAGAGUUCUUUAGCAUAGAUACUUCCUCUCCACAUAGGUGCCAUCACGAAAUGCGUCUAGCAAGAAAAGUGGCUUUCGUCUACGCGGCCACAGGCAGGAGGUUCCUUGGAUGCCCUCUCUCGGGACCUGAUAGGUGCUCCUGGUUCAUGUGGAUAGAUGAAGCAUGGGGUCCUGUACUUAGCCGUUCAUUAAUACAACUCUGGGAUCAGGCUCUCCUGGACUCUGGAAGAGCAGCAAGGUUGCAGACAAAGAAAAAGGAAAUGGAGCAAGCAUACUUAGAGUUGUGGACUGAGAGGAGCAAUAUGGAGAUUGAAAACUAG
rnacentral:rRNA from 1 species